UACGUAGGUGGCAAGCGUUGUCCGGAAUCACUGGGCGUAAAGCGCGCGCAGGCGGCGAUCUACGUCUGGGGUGAAAGCCCGGAGCUCAACUCCGGGACUGCCUUGGAUACGGGAUCGCUUGAGGAUUGGAGAGGCAAGGGGAAUUCCGCGUGUAGCGGUGAAAUGCGUAGAUAUGUGGAGGAACACCUGUGGCGAAGGCGCCUUGCUGGCCAAUUUCUGACGCUGAGGCGCGAAAGCGUGGGGAGCAAACAGG
rnacentral:rRNA from 1 species